rnacentral:lncRNA from 1 species
GCUGGUUCUGUGCCAUUGAUCUCCUCAAUUGGAAUCUCCCUGUCAAACUGCUCCUUUUCGUCUACUUUUUUAGCAUCAUUAGAAUUCUGAACCAGUGGGUCCGCAGCGGCACGAACUUCUUCUGCACUUUCUUCUUGGCUAGCUGAGGUCCCCUUGCUGAAUUCAGCAGAAUGAAAUGAGGCAUCUUCCCCAGCUGGUUUAAUCUCUAUCUUAUUUUCCUCUAGCACAUUCAGAGCAUCUGCAGCGGCAGGAACUUCUUGUGCUACACUUUCUUCUUGGCAAACUAAGAUCGCCUUGCUGAGUUCAGCAGAAUGAAAUGAGGCAUCUUCCCCAGCUGGUUUACUCUCUAUCUUAUUUUCCUCUAGCACAUUCAGUGCAUCCGCAGCGGCAGGAACUUCUUGUGCUACACUUUCUUCUUGACUAGCUGAUGUCGCCUUGCUGAGUUCAGCAGAUUGAGAUGCGGCGUCAGUCCCAGCUGGUUUACUCUCUAUCUUAUUUUCCUCAAGCACAUUCAGUGCAUCUACAGCGGCAGGAACUUCUUGUGCUGCACUUUCUUCUUGGCUAGCUGAGGUGGCCUUGCUGAGUUCAGCAGAAUGAGAUGAGGUGUCAGCCCCAGCUGGUUUGCUCUCAAUCUUAUUUUCCUCAAGAAUAUUCAGUGCAUCUGCAGCGGCAGGAACUUCUUCUGCACUUUCUUCUUUGCUAGCUGAGGUUGCCUUGCUGAGUUCAGCAGAAUGAGAUGAGGCAUCUGUCCCAGCUGGUUCACUCUCGUUCUUAUCCUCCUCAAGCACACUCAAUGGUAGCGUUUUGUUGAGGCUGUUAUCGAGAGGUUUAUCUUCAGCUUCUUGAAUUUCCAUUUUCUCUAUGUUUCCCUCAUCCAUUGUUUCUUCUUU